UUAAGUUCAGCGGGUAGUCUCACCCGAUUUGAGGUCAAGGUUCGUGGGUCAAAGUGGCAAUCACUUUGACCAUUUGUCUUCUGUGAGACGGUUAGAAGCAGGAGUGCAGAACCCGAGACGUAGAAAACAUCUUAUCACGUCAAGGAUCGGCAAAGCAGACCUUGCUAAUCCAUUUCAGAGGAGCUGGCUCCAACAAAGGG
rnacentral:misc_RNA from 1 species